rnacentral:tRNA from 1 species
CGGCGACGUGCCGAAGGCAUUGGCGUCAAUGCCCACACCAUUGAUGAAGCCGCCGUUGAAGCUCGGGUUGGAACCCGAGUCGCCGC